ACACCGUUGGUGAAGUGGUUAUCAUGCUUGCCUUCCAUCUCAGCCCGAUUUGAAGUAGAGGAGCAAGCGGCUCGGGUUCGAUUCCCGAACGGUGUA